AUUGAACGCUGGCGGCAGGCCUAACACAUGCAAGUCGAACGGUAACAGGAAACAGCUUGCUGUUUCGCUGACGAGUGGCGGACGGGUGAGUAAUGUCUGGGAAACUGCCUGAUGGAGGGGGAUAACUACUGGAAACGGUAGCUAAUACCGCAUAACGUCGCAAGACCAAAGAGGGGGACCUUCGGGCCUCUUGCCAUCGGAUGUGCCCAGAUGGGAUUAGCUAGUAGGUGGGGUAACGGCUCACCUAGGCGACGAUCCCUAGCUGGUAUGAGAGGCUGACAAGCCAAACUGGAACAGGGACACGGUCCAGACGCCUACGGGAGGCAGCAGUGGGGAAUAUUGCACAAUGGGCGCAAGGCUGAUGCAGCCAUGCCGCGUGUAUGAAGAAGGCCUUCGGGUUGUAAAGUACUUUCAGCGGGGAGGAAGGGAGUAAAGUUAAUACCUUUGCUCAUUGACGUUACCCGCAGAAGAAGCACCGGCUAACUCCGUGCCAGCAGCCGCAGUAA
rnacentral:rRNA from 1 species